GGGAGGCUGAGGUAGGAGAAUUGCUUGAGCCUGGGAGAUGGAGGUUGCAGUGAGCCGAGAUCGUGCCACUGCACUCCAGCCUGGCCAACAGAGCGAGACUCUGUCUCAAAAUAAUAAUAAUAAUAAUGACAAACACCUAUCACCCACUAGUACCUUGAGGCUCAGCUGUGUGCCUCCCUGCAAUCUCUGCUUCCCUGGGCACCACAUCCUCCCCAGGUACUACCUUUAAUGUCAGUCGUUACUGUUUGCUUUAUAGUUUUGCCCUCUAUAUGACAUAUCCCUAAACAAUCUACUGGUUGGAUUUGAAUAACUGAGUGGCUAGCACAAAGCUAGCUGUGUAAGGAAAGAGCACUGUUGCCAGUAUUACAUGAGAUUUCCUGGGAAAAUAAGCUGAAUAGAGUUGCUGGGUCAUGGAAAACAAGCUGAAUAGAGUUGCUGGGUUAUAAUGUAAUUUCAACCUUCCUGAGUCUUUAAAAGCCUCUUCUGGAGAAGUCAGAGGACAAAAUCAUGAUCAAAGAGCAAGGCAUGGCGGCAUGUGCCUGUAGUCCUAGCUACUCAGGAGGCUGAAAUGGGAGGAUCACUUGAACCCAGGAGUUCUGGUCCAGUCUGGGCAACAUAGUGAGACCCCAUUUCAAAACAAAAACAAGGCUGGGCACAGUGGCUCACGCCUGUAAGCCUUUGAGAGGCCGAGGCAGAUGGAUCACCUGAGGUCAGGAGUUUGAGACCAGCCUGGCUAACAUGGUGAAACCCCGUUUCUACUAAAAAUACAAAAAAUUAGCCAGCUGUGGUGGCGUGUGUCUGUAAUCCCAGCUACUCGGGAGGCUGAGGCAAGAGAAUUGCUUGAACCCAGGAGGCGGAGGUUGGGGUGAGCAGAGAUUGGCCAUUGCACUCCAGCUUGAGCAACAAGAGCGGAACUCCGUCUCAAAAACGAAACAAAACAAGAAAACAAACCAGAACAAAACAUGCAUCUAUCUUCCUAAUUGGAGGGGAGAAAGCCAAAAAAAAAGAAAAAAACAAUCGUACACAGGCGCAGAUCUAGGAUUUGUGGGGUCUGAAGAUUAUAUAAUUUGGAGGACCCUUUUGUAAGAUUAUAAGUUCAAAAUUACAAAUACUAAAUUAGGUACAGGGCCUUGGGGAGGGCAUAUAUGAAUAAAGGGCUUCCGUUUCAUUAGUUUCAGGUGGAUAAGUCUCUAACCAUGAGGGUUCACCUGUGUCUGGGCAUCUGGCAGAUCUGCAGGAUGGGCCAGGCACUGAAGACCCUGUAGAAAUAGGGUCAGAGGGGGAAGGAUGCUUUGUAUUUUCUGCUUUUAAGCUCAUUAGCCUACAUUCAGCUCUCAAGAGUAGGCCUAAAGCACAACACUUCAGAAACGGGCUGUUUUAUGAAAUGAAUACGCUCAGCCGAUUCUACCAGCAGAGUGUAGAGAGGUGAGUGGGAAUUUCCAUAAUAUGUAAUGAAACUGUGACAAAUAUGGAUAAAUCGUCCUCAAGUUUGAACAAGGUAUGAUAUCAGUGAGGAUUUUUGGGUGAUGACAGUUCUCAACCUGUUUCUUGAGUCACAGUUUUCCACAUGGAAAUGGUUGUUCUCCACAUGUUGUACACAGCGAUUAUCAUGGCAUUUCCCCUUACUAUCCUCCCAGGGAAUCUCCUUGCUUCUCUCCUAUUUUAGAUUCUCCUCCUGGAUUUACUUGGUCUUUGCGUGGAGUAUCUUCUCCGGUAGCUUAUAGAGAAGGAGUGCAUGAUAGAUAAAAGUUUUUGAAAUCUUACAUACUUGAACAUAUUUUUUUCUGCUCUCAUACUCAAUUGAUAGUAUGGCUGGGUAUAGAAUUCCAGAUUGCAAGUUACAUUUCUCAGAAUUUUAAAGGCACUGCUUCAUUGUGCUUUGGCUUCUAGUGUUGCUGAUGCGAAGUCCAAAUCCAUUUUGCUUCCUAAACUUUGUAUAUAGCCAAUUUUUUCAUCUCUAGAGGCAAUGAAAUCUUCUCUUCCUCCCUAAAAUGAUGCUGGCUACUUAUUGGCUCUUAAAUAUCACAGUUCAUUCUAUUGUUGAAUUAUGACAUUGAUUGCUUUGUCCCUUCUUUUCUCUUUUUUCUUUCUGGAAACACCGGUAUUCAGAUAUAAGAUCCCCUGAACUAGUACUCUUAACUUCCUAACCUUUUGUCUACUAUUUUAUAUCCCUUUAUCUUUUUGCUAUAUUUCCUGGGAAAUUUCCCUAAUGUUGUAUUUCAGCUAUUAUGUAUAAUUAUUUUUUUCUGCUUAAGCAGAUCAUUUUUCCUUAUAUCCUUAUCAUUUUUUCCUUUCUAUGGAAGUAUUGUAUGCACAUUGUUUAAAAAUUAUACAGCACUCAUUUCAAUAGCACAUUUGAUAAAACUGGAAUGAGACAGGCCAGGAGUGGUGGCUCAUGCCUGUAAUCCCAGCACUCUGGGAGGCCGAGGAGGGCAGAUCACAAAGUCAGGAGAUUGAGACCAUCCUGGCUAACAUGGUGAAACCCUGUCUCUACUAAAAAUAAAAAAAAAUUAAAAAAAAAAUUAUCCCGGCGUGGUGGCGGGCACCUGUAGUCCCAGCUAAUUGGGAGGCUGAGGCAGGAGAAUGGUGUGAACCCAGGAGGUGGAGCUUGCAGUGAGCCAAGAUCAUGCCACUGCACUCCAGCCUGGGCAACUAAGCGAGACUCCGUCUCAAAAAAAAAAAAAAAAAAAAAAACUGGAAUGAGACAGAAAAUUAGCAUGGUCCCUGCGCAAGGAUGACAUGCAAAUUUGCAAGGGUUCCAUAUUUUUAAAAAAUCAUUACAGAAUUCUUUACAUAGAAAAUUCCAUCUAGUAGAUCAUUGAACAAAAGAGAGACCAGAAAUAGAUCUACACAUACACAUGUAUGACCUAAACCUGUGGAUAUGAACCACAUUUUAUAUUUGCUUUUGACAAAGAUUUUAUAUAGCAAGAAAUGUGGCUCCUAUAGAGAAGCCUGGCCUUUUCCCCAUCUCCUGGGAGGUAAUCUCUAAACUCUUGGAAUUUCCUGAGUGUUAAGGGUGUCUUUGUUAUUUGAUGGGCCCUUGGAACUACACCUGAUAUUUUAUGCUAUAACAUGUUGGGGGUGGCCAUGGCAGGAAGACCAACUAUCUGAUAAGACGGUUGGAGCUGGGGGACACAUGGUAUCAGCUCAACCUCUAGGGAACAGGGGGCGGGAGAUUGAGUACAACCACAUGGGCUCAACCAAUCGUGUUUGUAAGAAAACCUCAAUAAAAUCUCUGGGCACCAGAGCUCAGGUAAGUUUCCCUGGUUGGGAAUACUCUGAACAGACUAUCACACAUCAGUGCUGGUAGGAAAACACUUUCCUGAAGAUAGUGGCAGUUUCAUGUUUGCAACCCUCCCAGACUUCACCCUACGUGUCUCUUCCUUUGUCUGGUUCUAAUUUAUAUCCCAUUGCUAUAAUAAAGCUGCAGUGGUACACACAGCACUUUCCUGAGUUCUGUGAGUCAUUCUAGCAAAGUACCAAAUCUGAGAGUGGUUUUAGGAAGCCGCAAACUCGCAGUUGGUGUCUGAAGUCAGGGCAAUCUUAUAGGGAUUGUUCCGUCUGACUGUGUGGUUUGGGUAACUCCUUACAGAUACCAAGGCAAUUCACUGAGAAAAUGGACUCUUUUGCACAUGUCAUACUGUAAUUAUUGAUAUCCAUAUGUAAAGAAAUGAGCCUCAACCCUUACCUCAUAGUAUCUGCAAAAACUAACUUGAAAUGAAAAGUAGACCGGAAUGUAAGAACUAGAACUAGAACUUUUCUAGAAUAAAAUACAGAAGAACGUCUUUGUGACCCUGGGUUGGGCAUAUAUUAAUAUAUUAAAUAGACCACAAAAAGGAAAAUAUGAUGACUAGGUCUUCAUAAAAAUUUUAAAAAUUUGCUCUUCAAAUAAUACUGUUAAGAAAAUGAAAAGGCAAGUCUGGGGUAAAAUAUCGGCAAAAUAUGUAUCUGUCAAAGUAUUUGUAUCAAGAAUAUAAAAAGAAUUAUUUGGCGGGUGUGGUACCUCAUGCUUGUAAUCCUAGCACUUUGGGAGGCUGAGGCAGGAGGAUCACUUGGAUAGUCAUUCUAGCAAAGUACCAAACCUGAGGGUGGUUUCAGGAAACCCCCAAAUUUGCACACUUACAAACUUGUAAAAAAAUCCAAUUAGAAAACGGGUAAAAGACAUGAACAGACAUUUCCUGAAGAAGCUAUACAGAUGGCAAAUAAGCACAUGAAAAGAGUUCAACAUCAUUAGCCAUUAGGGAAAUACAAAAUAAAGCCACAGUGAAAUAUUAUUUUGCAUUUUGCAUGUAGCAUAAUAAUAUUUUUUAUUUUAGGCUGGGCACGGUGGCUCAUGCCUGUAAUCCCAGCACUUUCGGAGGCUGAGGUAGGCAGAUCACCUGAGGUCAGGAGUUCGAGACCAGCCUGGCCAACAUGGUGAAACCCCGUCUGUACUAGAAAUACCAAAAAAAAAAAAAAAAGUUAAAAAGAUAUUUUUUAUUUUUGCCUAGCAGAAUGGCUAAAAUGAAAAAUAAUGACAACACCAAAUGCUGGCAAAGAUGUAGAGAAACUGGGCCACAAAAAUUGCUGGUAGGAAUGUGAAAUGAUACAACCACUCUGGGAAAAGGUUUAGCAGUUUUUAAAAAUAAAACCGUGCGGGCUGGGCGUGAUGGCUCACACCUGUAAUCCCAGCACUUUGGGAGGCUGAAGCGGGUGGAUCACGAGGUCAGGAGAUCGAGACCAUCCCGGCUAACACAAUGAAACCCUGUCUCUACUAAAAGUACAAAAAAAUUAGCCAGGCGUGGUGGCGCGCGCCUGUAGUCCCAUCUACUCGGGAGGCUGAGGUAGGAGAAUUGCCUGAACCCAGGAGGCGGAGGUUGCAGUGAGCCGAGAUCUCGCCACUGCACUCCAGCUUGGGUGACAGAGGGAGAAUCCGUCUCAAUAAAUAAAUAAAUAAAUAAAUAAAUAAAUAAAUAAAACUGCAUGAAACUACCAUACAACCCACAGUUGCUCUCCUGGGCAUUUAUCUCAGAGAAAAGAAAACUUACAUUCACACCAAUUGUUCAUAGCGACUUUAUUCAUAAUAGCCAAAAACCAAGUCAUGGUAUAUGCACAGGACGGAACACUACUCAGCAAUAAACAGGAGCAAGCUAUUGGUGUGUGUGUGUGUGUGUGUGUGUGUGUGUAUAUGUAAUGAAUCUCAUAUGUAAUGAAUCCCUAGGGAAUUAGGCUGAGUGAAAAUAGCCAAUCUUUACAAAUUGUAUAUUGUAUAUUGUAUGCUUACAUUUAUCUAUAUUACACUCUUGAAAUGACAAAAUUAUGGAGAAGAGACUAAUAGUUGCCAGGAGCUGGGGGCGGGGAAAGAGGUGAGUGUGGCUAUAAAAGGGCAACACAAGGGGUCCCAGUGAUGAUGGAACUGCUCUGUGUCUUGACUUCAUCAAUGUCAACAGCCUGGUUGUGAUAUGUUACUAUACUUUACAAGAUGUUACCACUGGGGGAAGCUGGAUCAAGGGAUCUCUCUUUUUUUCUUUUCUUCCAUAAGUAAGGAAACAAUCUCUGUAUUAUUUCUUAUAAUGUGAAUCUAUAAUUAUUUCAAAAUAAAAAGUUAAAUUAAAUAAAUCUGUACACAAAUGUUUAUAGUGGUUUUAUUCAUACUCAUUAAAAACUGGAAUCAAUCCAAAUGCCCAAGAACUGGUAAAUGAAUAUAUAAAAUGUAGUAAAACCUUACAGUGAAAUGCUACUCAGCAAUAAUAAAGAAUGAACCACUGAUAUGUAAAACACGAAUGAAUCUCAAAAGCUUCAUGCUAUGUGAAAGGAGUCAGACUCAAGACUAUCUACUAUAUAAUUCCAUUUAUGUGAAGUGCUAAAAAAAAGUCCAAAAUCUUAGUUAUAAAAAGCAGAUUAGUGGUUGCCAGGAGGCAGAGGGUAGGGGUGUAGAAUGACUGAAAAAUGUUUCAAGGUAAUUUUUUGGGGGUAAUGAAAAUAUCCUAUCAAUUUCAUGAUUGUGGUAGUGACUAUAUGAUGGUAUAUUUGUUAAAACUCAUUUAUUGUGCACUUAACAUUGGUGAAUUUUAUUGCAUUUAAAUUGUACCUCAAUAAAGUUGACCCCAAAAUUGGGCUAAUAAAUUUAGACUAUUUUGCGACUUGCUUUUUCAUUUAACUAUAUGUUGUGGACUUCUGGCUUCCAGACAGAGAGCUUUACCUCCUUUUUAAUAGUUCCAUAGUCUUUCAUUGUAUGGAUGCAGCACAAUCCCACAAUUAAUUUAAUUAAUCUUUCCUUGAUGAGCAUUUCUGCUGUUUCCAAUUUUUUAUUCU
rnacentral:lncRNA from 1 species